UACAGGGGGAGCAAGCGUUGUUCGGAUUUACUGGGCGUAAAGGGCGCGUAGGCGGCCAGCACAAGUCAGUUGUGAAAUCUCCGAGCUUAACUCGGAACGGUCAACUGAUACUGUGCGGCUAGAGUGCGGAAGGGGCAACUGGAAUUCUUGGUGUAGCGGUGAAAUGCGUAGAUAUCAAGAGGAACACCUGCGGCGAAGGCGGGUUGCUGGGCCGACACUGACGCUGAGGCGCGAAAGCGUGGGGAGCAAACAGG
rnacentral:rRNA from 1 species